rnacentral:rRNA from 1 species
UGAGGAAUAUUGGUCAAUGGGCGGGAGCCUGAACCAGCCAAGUCGCGUGAAGGAAGAAGGAUCUAUGGUUCGUAAACUUCUUUUGCAGGGGAAUAAAGUGCAGGACGUGUCCUGUUUUGUAUGUACCCUGAGAAUAAGGAUCGGCUAACUCCGUGCCAGCAGCCGCGGUAAUACGGAGGAUCCGAGCGUUAUCCGGAUUUAUUGGGUUUAAAGGGUGCGUAGGUGGUUUGAUAAGUCAGCGGUGAAAGUUUGCAGCUUAACUGUAAAAAUGCCGUUGAAACUGUCGGACUUGAGUGUAAAUGAGGUAGGCGGAAUGCGUGGUGUAGCGGUGAAAUGCAUAGAUAUCACGCAGAACUCCGAUUGCGAAGGCAGCUUACUAAGCUACAACUGACACUGAAGCACGAAAGCGUGGG